GAGAGUCCCAGGCUGAAUUCACAGUGAAAAAGGAGGGGGAGCUGCAGCCUUGUCCAGUAGGGCAGCAGCGUGGACUGCAGGGCUGGGUUCCUCUGUAGAGGCAUCUCCUAAAGGUCCUGGGGUCAGUAGCAUGAGGAGAAUUUUCAGACACCUUACUUCCUGUCUGGGAAUAGGAGUAAGCCAGUUAGAGAAAACCAGGAAUGUGAAGGGAAGGGAGGAGAGAAAGCCCAGAGGAAGACCACAGAUGUUGAAGGUGUUUGGGUCAGGGGGCAGGGUCAGGGUGGCAUUGACCAUUGUGGUGCAGUGGACCCAUUGAAGAGGUGAGUUCAAAGGCCCAAUAUAGAGGAAAACUAGAGUAUAAUAUAGUGGAGGGAGGUGCAGGCAUUGGAAUAAGGAUGUAAUUGUCAAGAAAUUUGGUCAUGGGAUGGAGAGAAAGCUCAGCAAUUUAGGAGCACUUGCUUCUCCCUUCCAGAGUUCCAAGCAGCCACAUCCAGCAGCUCACAAUAAGGUGUAACUGGCGAUGGCGUUCAGAUAGUUGUGCGACUACAGCUCAGCUACAUGCUGAAGUAUUUCUGCAUCAGUAGGUAGUAAUGAGUAACUGCAACAGCAGGAAAAACAUCUCUCAACCAUAUUCCCCACCACUUGGAGCUCAAGAUCCCCAACAGCUUAGGGUAAAGAAAGGGUCGUCUGGCCGCACCUGCGACUCCGCACUGCCACCUGCUGGUGCAGCUGCGUCAUGGAGGCGCAGAGGAAACCCUGAGGUUGUGUUUGUCUGGAGCGGGGCUGUG